AUUGGAAGGGGUGUAUUUAUUAGAUAAAAGACCAAUGCCCUUCGGGGCUUUUUGGUGAUUCAUGAUAACUUUACGGAUCGCAUAGCCUUGCGCUGGCGACGGUUCAUUCAAAUUUCUGCCCUAUCAACUUUCGAUGGUAAGGUAUUGGCUUACCAUGGUUUCAACGGGUAACGGGGAAUUAGGGUUCGAUUCCGGAGAGGGAGCCUGAGAAACGGCUACCACAUCCAAGGAAGGCAGCAGGCGCGCAAAUUACCCAAUCCCGACACGGGGAGGUAGUGACAAUAAAUACUGAUACAGGGCUCUUUUGGGUCUUGUAAUUGGAAUGAGUACAAUUUAAACCUCUUAACGAGGAACAAUUGGAGGGCAAGUCUGGUGCCAGCAGCCGCGGUAAUUCCAGCUCCAAUAGCGUAUAUUAAAGUUGUUGCAGUUAAAAAGCUCGUAGUUGAAACUUGGGUCUGGCUGGCGGGUCCGCCUCACCGCGUGCACUCGUCCGGCCGGACCUUCCUUUUAGCGAACCUCAUGCCCUUCACUGGGCGUGCUGGGGAACCAGGACUUUUAC
rnacentral:rRNA from 1 species